GAUGAACGCUGGCGGCGUGCCUAAUACAUGCAAGUCGAGCGAACAGACGAGGAGCUUGCUCCUCUGACGUUAGCGGCGGACGGGUGAGUAACACGUGGAUAACCUACCUAUAAGACUGGGAUAACUUCGGGAAACCGGAGCUAAUACCGGAUAAUAUAUUGAACCGCAUGGUUCAAUAGUGAAAGACGGUUUUGCUGUCACUUAUAGAUGGAUCCGCGCCGCAUUAGCUAGUUGGUAAGGUAACGGCUUACCAAGGCAACGAUGCGUAGCCGACCUGAGAGGGUGAUCGGCCACACUGGAACUGAGACACGGCCCAGACUCCUACGGGAGGCAGCAGAAGGGAAUCUUCCGCAAUGGGCGAAAGCCUGACGGAGCAACGCCGCGUGAGUGAUGAAGGUCUUCGGAUCGUAAAACUCUGUUAUUAGGGAAGAACAAAUGUGUAAGUAACUAUGCACGUCUUGACGGUACCUAAUCAGAAAGCCACGGCUAACUACGUG
rnacentral:rRNA from 1 species